rnacentral:rRNA from 1 species
UGAGCAACCUGCCCUUGACUCCGGAAUAACAGCUGGAAACAGCUGCUAAUACCGGAUAUGACCUCCGAUGGCAUCAUCUGGAGGUGGAAAGCUCCGGCGGUCAAGGAUGGGCUCGCGGCCUAUCAGCUUGUUGGUGAGGUAACGGCUCACCAAGGCUUCGACGGGUAGCCGGCCUGAGAGGGUGACCGGCCACACUGGGACUGAGACACGGCCCAGACUCCUAGGAGG